rnacentral:rRNA from 1 species
AGUGAACGCUGGCGGUAGGCCUAACACAUGCAAGUCGAACGGCAGCACAGUAAGAGCUUGCUCUUACGGGUGGCGAGUGGCGGACGGGUGAGGAAUACAUCGGAAUCUACUUUUUCGUGGGGGAUAACGUAGGGAAACUUACGCUAAUACCGCAUACGACCUACGGGUGAAAGCAGGGGAUCUUCGGACCUUGCGCGAUUGAAUGAGCCGAUGUCGGAUUAGCUAGUUGGCGGGGUAAAGGCCCACCAAGGCGACGAUCCGUAGCUGGUCUGAGAGGAUGAUCAGCCACACUGGAACUGAGACACGGUCCAGACUCCUACGGGAGGCAGCAGUGGGGAAUAUUGGACAAUGGGCGCAGGCCUGAUCCAGCCAUACCGCGUGGGUGAAGAAGGCCUGCGGGUUGUAAAGCCCUUUUGUUGGGAAAGAAAAGCAGCAGGUUAAUACCCCGCUGUUCUGACGGUACCCAAAGAAUAAGCACCGGCUAACUUCGU